UGCAGCUCUGCACAAAGUCGCUUUCACCCAAAAGGUACGAAAAGAAACAAAGCGCAUGAAAGGAAGGAAGGGCCGUCUGCGCUCAGCAGCCAGGAGACCGCUGGGGACAGGGACCUGCCGCUUCCGCGAUGCUGCCGGGAGGUCUGUGCUCAAACAGGGUUUAGCCCUGUCCCUGAUAUUUUGGGACCCUCCUCUGACAUGGCAGCCCUUUUCAAGCUGAUCCUUGGAUAAGAUCCUGGUUAUCAGCAUGAAGGGAAGAGCUGCCUGCGGUGCGCGGGAAGCGGCCGAGGCGCAGCAGGCGCGUCCCUGUGACCGAUACAAGCACGCCUGUGCUGUUUGCAGAGGCUUUGUUUAUCUCUACGGAGGGCACGGCAGCACCACGCUGAGAGACUUCUGGAGGUACCACACAGUGAAAAAUGAAUGGGAAAUGUUGGAUUGCUCAAGAGAUGGUCCAGAAGAACUGGAAGAACAUUCAAUGGUGGCUUAUAAGGGCAGCCUGUAUAUUUUUGGUGGGAUGGUGGAUUCUGCUUUCACACAAGCAAAAACUCCUCUCUGGAUAUAUGACACUGAUUCCGCAAGAUGGACAGAGAGCUGCAACGAACCAGCAGAGACGGAGAGCUCUGCACCAGCUAACAGAAAAGGACACAGUGCAGUCGUGUACCAUUCCAGUAUGUACAUCUAUGGGGGAUACUUUGGCAUCAAAGGCAUUUCUCAGGAGUUUUGGGAAUUCCAUUUUGGUACAAGGAAGUGGCUGUGUGUCUCCAGCUCCUGUCACAGCAGUGGUCCCGGAGCGCGGCACGGCCACUCGGCAGUGGUUUAUCACACAGCCAUGUACCUCUUUGGGGGGCUGAUGGGGCUCACUGAACAGAGGGACUUGUGGAGGUGGGAUUUUGGAAGUAGCAGCUGGUCCAGCAUCAGAACAAGGUAAACUAUUCUAUUUGUUACACCGAAAGAGCAGAGAAAGAGAAUUAAUCUUACUCUUUGACACUGUGUGCGGGUGGAGAGGGAGACGAUGCCCUCUUGGUAAUUGUAGGGAUUGUUCAGAUCAGGAUGCAGUGCUGCUGCCAUCCCUGGGCCUCCAGUUGGCUUUGCUCGGGAGAGCUGUUGGCAAGGCGUUGAUGCAGCUGUCAGCAGUGUAAUUUUGAUGUCCCAAUGCAGCUGUUCAGCAGUCAUCCUUCUGAGUCAAAAGGAAAACAGAAGCUAAAAUCAGUGCUAAGUUUCUUUGUGGUCUCCCCUUAACUGCUGGUUUCUCUUGCCUUCAGCCAAGGACCUCCUCCAGUGGUAGGUCACGCUUCAAUAGUCUGCAAAGACUCUAUGCUGAUUUUUGGUGGAGGGAUUUCAAAUUCCAGCCCUAAUGAUGACCUCUGGAAGUAUCAUUUCCAUACGCAGACAUGGAAGAAGCUUAGUAGUACUACAAAGGGAAACUUUUCUCCUAAAAUGUAUCACUGCAUCUUAGGAAUUGGUACAGAUUUCCAAACUACCUCAGAUUUCACUGAUACAUUCCCCAGCCACUGCAAGAGUGAGCAGAAGGACCGUGCCCAGCUGGUGCCCAUCCCGAGGCACUCCGGCUUUUGCAGCUUCUUCCGCCCACAGCCCACAGAGCGGAGCAACGCCAUUGAAAUGAAAACCUUCAGCCUGCCCCUGGAGCCAGCAGAAUUCCCUGCCUUCCAGACCACUUCAGAGGCAGGACUAGGCCCAAAGAGAGACAGGAGCUGUUUGUCCAAGGACAAGUCUCUCCAUCUGUUGGCCUGUUCGGGAGAAGCUUUUGCUUCUGCUCAGGCUGUGGGUGAAGAGGAGAGACCUGACUGUGGGUGUGUGGCCACGGGGGGUGAGAUCAGCAGUACCAACACACUGCUGCUCAUUGGGGGCAAACCUUUGUCCAGCUUCUCCGAGAUCUCCUUCAGGGAAAUGGAGUUUGAUUGCUUGUGAUUGCUUUGCUUGCAAAGUGAAGGAAUAAAUUUCCACCACAGUGGCA
ensembl:lncRNA